rnacentral:rRNA from 1 species
UACAGAGGUGGCAAGCGUUGUUCGGAAUUACUGGGCGUAAAGGGCGCGUAGGCGGCCCGUCAAGUCCCGUGUGAAAGCCCCGGGCUCAACCUGGGAAUUGCAUUCGAGACUGCAUUGCUGGAGUACGGAAGAGGAAGGCGGAAUUCCCGGUGUAGCGGUGAAAUGCGUAGAUAUCGGGAGGAACAUCAGUGGCGAAGGCGGCCUUCUGGUCCAGUACUGACACUCAAGUGCGAAAGCGUGGGGAGCAAACAGG